rnacentral:rRNA from 1 species
AGUGAACGCUGGCGGUAGGCCUAACACAUGCAAGUCGAACGGCAGCACAGUAAGCUCUUGCUCUUACGGGUGGCGGGUGGCGGACGGGUGAGGAAUACAUCAGAUUCUUCUUUUUCGUGGGGGAUAACGUAGGGAAACUUACGCUAAUACCUCAUACGACCUACCGGUGAAAUCAGUAGAUCUUCGCACCUUGCGCGUUUGAAUGAGCCGAGGUCGGAUUAGCUAGUUGGCGGGGUAAAGGCCCACCAAGGCGACGAUACGUAGCUGGUCUGAGAGGAUGAUCAGCCACACUGGAACUGAGACACGGUCCAGACUCCUACGGGAGGCAGCAGUGGGGAAUAUUGGACAAUGGGCGAAAGCCUGAUCCAGCCAUACCGCGUGAGUGAAGAAGGCCUUCGGGUUGUAAAGCCCUUUUGUUGGGAAAGAAAAGCAGCAGGUUAAUACCCCGAUGUUCUGACGGUACCCAAAGAAUAAGCACCGGCUAACUUCGUG